GCAGCAUUGGAUUUUGGUGAUACUGUGUUUGGUUUUUCUGUUUCUAGCAUGUUGAAAAUAAGCAAAGCAAAACAAAAAACCCAAGCCCUAAACUUCUUGGGUCCUUAACCAGAAGAUACGAAGUAAACAGCCUUAAGUGCACUUUGGAACCUUGGUGUCUGUACCCUUUAAGUAAUACAAGCUCUGAGGCUGAACACUUAAGUGGAAUUCUAAAACAAAAGCAUGGUAUGACUGUCUUUGGAAAGAGGCAGCUCUUUUGAACUUCUCUGAAUGUGUAUUUCUCUAACUAUUAAAACUUAAUCUUUUUGCAUGUGGUUGUAGCAAGCAGAUCUUUUUAAGAAGUGGUCCUGAUGAUUUUUUUGGGUGAUUCUUCACAUUGUCUUAAUUUUUGUCUGGACUCCCUACUAAGUAGUUUGUGCUAGGAAAGCAUUGAAGCUUUGGAAAAUGGAUGUCGUUUAUUGAAAUGCCAUCUUUCUACAAACUGUUUGCAGAAGACCCAAAAGGAGCCUGGAUGCUGAUCACUGGCCCUUGGCUGCUGCUUUGCCGUGCACAUGAAUGAGCACUUUGUGUCCCAGCCCCGCUGAGGACAAUGGCAGCGCUGUGGGGAGGCUUCUGGAGCCGUUUAACCUCGUGUAUUGACAGGACAGGAAUUGACAGGACAUGGCAAUGAGAUGCUCUUCCCUCAGCUCCGGAUUUUUGCAAAUUCCUCUACUGCUGGCAGUUGUAACUUUCCAAUUAAAUUGAUCCUUGUCUGAACACCUUUCCAACAUCGUGAUGUUUCUGCUCUUGGAAGGAUCUCUGGUGGUUUAGAUGGACAAAGAUGAGACUGAGAUCAGUGCCCAGGAUUGCAAGAUUCAGUGUCAGGUCAGACUUCUCAGGAGCUGUGAAGGGUCAGAAAUGAGAGCUCUACCCAGAGACUGGCUGUGUCCUGCACAAUGCCCUGACCAUAAAUGUGAUUUAACAAGGAAGCUGCUGCUGAUGUGAAGCUAUUCAAGUGUUGAACCUCACAGAUAGUUAAGUAACCUCUUAAAUAAUUAGAUUGAUUUCAGGCAUAGUAAGUUAAUUGGUGUGUUGUGCUAAAUACUUUGCUAAAUAAUCCUGGGAUGUACCUCGAUCACCAUCUUAAAUGUUUCUGCAGGGGCUGGGGAAAAAAAAGAAGUCCAUAAUCUAUUUAUUAUAAUAAUGAUUUCCUCAAAUAAAAACUGAUAACAAAAGAACAACUGCUAAAUGAAAGCAUGGGUUUGUGUUGAACAAACAAGCUUGUGAUGUGUGAGUUCCAUCCCCAGCUCAGUGUUGGACCUGGGCAGAUCACUCAUUCUGUACACAUCUUUCUUUCCUGGAGUAAAAUACAGAUUAUGAUCCUUAAAUAUCGAGUGCUGUGAAGUUGUUAUUGAUCAUACAUUGCUUUGAAGAUUAAAAGUGCUUUGUUUUUUUGUUUAUCAUUUUA